rnacentral:lncRNA from 1 species
UAGUAUCUAUCCCAAAGACCAGGGAGAAAGGAAGGAAAGAUUCUGGUUCUGUCCUCUUCCCCAAGGCAAGGCUGGCUGCCCUACCAACAGAGGCAAAGAGAAGAGUGUGCAAGGCUGGCUGCCCUCCCAACAGAGGCAAAGAGGAGUGUGUGUUGAAAUAUCCAUUGAAUCCCUGAGACAACUGGAUCCUGGCCCAUUGAAUCAUAAACUCACUGGUAGUCUGUCAAGGAAAUGAGCUGAACAUGUCUGUGUACAGCUUUUGUGCCAUCCCUGGAUGAGCGAGCUGUCUGCCUCUAUGUUCUCCACAAAAUGGAAUAUAGCUGUACACCCAAGCCAAGUUAUGGAGGCUGGGAAGACCUAGAAUGUGGCAUCACUAUUUGGAAACCAUGCCGAUUACCGACCGAGCUCUCAAUGGAAAAAUGCAGUCGGCGUGAACCACGCACGAACACAGCAGAGAAAGAAGAAAACACACACCACGAGGAACCCUAAUAGGACAAUACAUUAUAAGCCUCAUGGUACAUCCACUUGGUGUGCUGGGAGAGUCAGGAUGAGGACCUGAGAAGAACAGCAGCUUGAACCUGACUUCAUUUAACAGCCCACUGCCCUCUUGCCAAGAACCCAUCACAGACCUUCCCAGAAGAGAGGGAUGAGCCUCACCUAUGAAUAAGUCCUCAGAAACUCAAAUUUGAUUCUAAUGGAUUGUUUUCUCAGAAAGACUGAGCAUGUCCCCCCACAUCUCUGUCAUUUCCCACAGUAGUAACCUCUGCAGAUGCCACAUAGAAAACAAAACAAAACAAAAAAACAUGAGGUUGGUGGGCAGAUAGGCAGGGUAUAAACAAACAGCCUUGUAACCCAGAAGCUGUGUGAUAUACAGUAAACUUCACAACACUGAAAAGAUGUCCUAUCUGUUAAAAUGGGGUAAUAACAACUACCCGAAUGUUUAGGAAUAGAACUUCAAUAAAUGAUACAUUUUAUAGUACAGCAGAC